CGUAAACUUUAGGGGUGUUCUGCCACGGGCGGGACUGAGAAAUACCCUUGGAACCUGAUCCAGGUAAUGCUGGCGAAGGGAAAAGUGCCUUGUGUCGC
rnacentral:ncRNA from 2 species